rnacentral:rRNA from 1 species
AGAGUUGUAUCCUGGCUCAGAUUGAACGCUGGCGGCAUGCCUUACACAUGCAAGUCGAACGGUAACGGGUCUUCGGAUGCUGACGAGUGGCGAACGGGUGAGUAAUAUAUCGGAACGUGCCCAGUAGUGGGGGAUAGCCCGGCGAAAGCCGGAUUAAUACCGCAUACGACCUACGGGUGAAAGGGGGGGAUCGCAAGACCUCUCGCUAUUGGAGCGGCCGAUAUCAGAUUAGGUAGUUGGUGGGGUAAAGGCCUACCAAGCCUGCGAUCUGUAGUUGGUCUGAGAGGACGACCAGCCACACUGGGACUGAGACACGGCCCAGACUCCUACGGGAGGCAGCAGUGGGGAAUUUUGGACAAUGGGCGCAAGCCUGAUCCAGCAAUGCCGCGUGCAGGAAGAAGGCCUUCGGGUUGUGAACUGCUUUUGUCAGGGAAGAAAUCCUCUGGGCUAAUAUCCUGGGGGGAUGACGGUACCUGAAGAAUAAGCACCGGCUAACUACGUGCCAGCAGCCGCGGUAAUACGUAGGGUGCGAGCGUUAAUCGGAAUUACUGGGCGUAAAGCGUGCGCAGGCGGUUGUGCAAGACAGGUGUGAAAUCCCCGGGCUU